UGCCAGGCUAUGGAUUUUGUUGACUCUAGAACUGAAGUCAUAGAUAAAGUAGGGCAUAAAGUCUACAGAACCUCAAGGGGACAUGGAAGGAGAAAUACUGACCAGAAAUAGAUAAAGGAAAAAUAAGGCAGCUGUAUGCAUCAAGAAAUGGCAUGGAACAGAGUGAAGGAGCUGUUUCUGACAGCUGCAGUUUUAUCCUGGAAAGAAGGGGAGGAAGGAUGACCAGGGAGUAAGGGGGAGUAAUAGAAGCAAUGCUUACAGCUGCAGCACUGGGGGCAGGACCUGUGUAUUUCUUUGACCAGGUAUUUCUUUUAUAUACAGUGCAUUCUACUUUCCUCUUUCCCUGAACACCUCUUCCAAUCUUACAUUGGAAACAUUCAUUUUUUUGUAGAUGUAGGAUUAAAGAGAAAGGCAAGAAGAUACCAGAAUUGUCUUCAUAUUUCACUGCAGAUCUUCUUGCUGGCUUUACUCCCAGAAGUUUACUCCAGGUUGUUUCCAUCUAUGAACAUGUUUGUGUGCACAUUACUUCAAGAGUGUAAGAAGCUACCACUGAAACUGGAGCAGGGUAACCAUGCGGUUACAGCUAAACUUGUGUGUGGUUAAAGACUUGAGGACUAAGACUUCUUUUUGGUAAAAUUUCUUUGUAUUUUAGAUUUUAAAACUCCUAAAAAACUUGUUAAUAAAUUUUCCACAUUGGCAGUCCUCCAAUUAAACUAAAAUAAAGAUUGCCCUCUCACAAUUAUGGAAGAUCAGUGUUCUCAAACUGAAAAAAACACCCUCCCAAAACAGAAAAUGGGUAUGUAGAAUCAGCAGUUGCUGGAGAAGACUUCUUUAGACACUUAAAAAUUUCAUUACACCUAAAGGUCUUUUGCAUGUCAUGUCUAAAAAGGCAAAGCUUCGGAUUUAUUUGAUUGCCAUUUUAUGGAGGCAAGAGAAAAUGGUUUUACAUAGGAGAGAAGAAACCAAUCAGCAUGUUACAUUACAUUACAUUGCACUUCAGCAGGCAUAAUCUAAAGCAUACACUGUCAGUGCAGAGGCUCACUGGUUUGGCAGUGGCUGCACUAAAUCUCCUGGUGCUGCUCUGCACAGGUAUUUCUGAGCUUGAGCUGGGAGUCUUCUUGGGAAAAAAUGUAGCUCAGUCUCAGCUGUGAAAGGGAGCACUGCCAGCCUGUCCAUGUAUGUUUCAGGCAGCAAAGCUAACAGGUCUC